rnacentral:miRNA from 1 species
CAAUUUGGCCCGACCCGAGCACGU